UACGUAGGGGGCAAGCGUUGUCCGGAAUCAUUGGGCGUAAAGAGCGUGUAGGCGGCCUGGUAAGUCCGCUGUGAAAGUCCAGGGCUCAACCCUGGAAUGCCGGUGGAAACUGUCAGGCUCGAGUCCGGAAGAGGCGAGUGGAAUUCCUGGUGUAGCGGUGAAAUGCGCAGGAUAUCAGGAGGAACACCGGUGGCGAAGGCGGCAUCCUGGACCGGCAUUGACGCUGAUGAGCGAAAGCCAGGGGAGCAAACGGG
rnacentral:rRNA from 1 species